rnacentral:rRNA from 1 species
UACGGAGGGGGCUAGCGUUGUUCGGAAUGACUGGGCGUAAAGCGCGCGUAGGCGGAUCGGUAAGUUGGGGGUGAAAUCCCGGGGCUCAACCCUGGAAUGGCCUUCAAGACUCCCGGUCUUGAGUUCGAGAGAGGUGAGUGGAAUUCCGAGUGUAGAGGUGAAAUUCGUAGAUAUUCGGAGGAACACCAGUGGCGAAGGCGGCUCACUGGCUCGACACUGACGCUGAGGCGCGAAAGCGUGGGGAGCAAACAGG